rnacentral:rRNA from 1 species
UACGAAGGGGGCUAGCGUUGCUCGGAAUCACUGGGCGUAAAGGGCGCGUAGGCGGACUCUUAAGUCGGGCGUGAAAGCCCAGGGCUCAACCCUGGAAUUGCCUUCGAUACUGAGAGUCUUGAGUUCGGAAGAGGUUGGUGGAACUGCGAGUGUAGAGGUGAAAUUCGUAGAUAUUCGCAAGAACACCAGUGGCGAAGGCGGCCAACUGGUCCGAUACUGACGCUGAGGCGCGAAAGCGUGGGGAGCAAACAGG